UACGGAGGGGGCUAGCGUUGUUCGGAAUUACUGGGCGUAAAGCGCACGUAGGCGGCUUUGUAAGUUAGAGGUGAAAGCCCGGGGCUCAACCCCGGAAUUGCCUUUAAGACUGCAUCGCUAGAAUUGUGGAGAGGUAAGUGGAAUUCCGAGUGUAGAGGUGAAAUUCGUAGAUAUUGGGAAGAACACCAGUGGCGAAGGCGGCCAUCUGGACCGGUACUGACGCUGAGGCGCGAAAGCGUGGGGAGCAAACAGG
rnacentral:rRNA from 1 species